CCUAGUUUUUAUCCUUUAAAUUCCGUCUUAAUAUGUCUAGUAUAUUUAGUGUUUGUUUGUGUUAUUGUUUGAAUUAGACUACUCUAUAGUUGGGUAAAAAAGAUUAUUGUGUGUGUAUUGGUUUAGUGUGGCUUAACUCUCAUUUUAAUUAGUUCGACUAAUGUGACAUGAACCUAGUUGUUCCAGAUUCAAGUCACCAUAUAAGUUAGUCCUUGUUUAAACCUGUAUAAAAUAUGAUAAGGAUCAGUUUGCCUUUUCUAAGUGUUGGCCAAAAACUUCCCAAAUUUGUCUAAGUGUUUGGCCAAGGUUUGUUCACUUCUUCUUCUCAUUUCUUUGAUUCUCCUAGCUAAUUAACAACUACUAAUUGAUCCUUACUUGGUUGUUAACUAGUUCUUGAGUCCGAAUUUCAUUUCAUGCCAAUUUCUUCCAAGCUUUUCUCUUUUAUUUAGUUGAAACUUUAUUGGCUCUUGUCCGUUCACUUUGAGUCGUCUUUCUUUCAUCUAAACAAGAAUAUAUUCUUCCAUAAAUAUUAGCAACCUUGUGAAUUAAUUUGGGAUUAGCGGUUCAUUGCCAACUUUGGAAGAAGCUUUAGGUUGAGAGGUAAGCUUGAGUGAAAAUACGAGUGACGUGAGGAACUUUACUACUAAUCUUGUUUGCUCGUUUUGUAAGUACAAGGAGAGAGGUCAUAAAGAGGAGGAGAUAUAAGGAUGUCAUCCAUAGCUUCAGAAUCUUGUGGUUGUUGACACCCAAUUUUGGCCCUCCUUUUUCGUUUAAUUAAUUUCACUAUGCUUCUCAGUCCUGAAAAUUCGCCAAAAUGAGCUUGAAAUACUUUCAUUAAUUAUUACGCUAUUUUUCGAGAUAUAUUUCUCUAAAGUUAAGAACACUCCUAUUGUUUCCUAAAAAUUACCAAACAUCAUAUAUAAUUAAAAAUUACUAAACAACAUUCUUUACAAUUAAAUCACUCAAAAAAAAAAAAUAUAGUGUUGAUAUUCCUAUAUCAAUAUUGGCGUUGGUAUUUUUUCUUUAAUCCUAUUUAUUAUUAUGUUAAUCAUCGUUUAUUCUAUUUUAAAACUAAAUACGUAUAUUAAAUUACUUGUAUUAUAAUUUUUAUAUGUACAAAUUUUUGAGAAUUAAUUAGGACAAAGAAGCAUAUUUUAAUUAGUUCAAAAUGAAGAGGAAUUAGGAUGAUUGGGCCAAUUCCCUUGUCCCCCAAAUUAAAUCAGCAACCCAACAACUCUAAGCCCAAAACGUUGCCGACCCGACCCAGCCCAACAAACCCCUACAACUAAAUCAACUAAACAGACCUAACGUCACCACUUUCCACCAUCGCCGCCACCCCACCUCCCAUCACGCCCCUCUUCUCCUUUCUCACACUCCAUCUCUGAAGCUUGCUGCAGGCUCCAUGUGCGAUUUCAUGGUAAGUCCCAUCCCUAUUUUCAUCAUCUCAUCUGUUGAAAAUUUCCCGCCUUUCCCUUAUUUUUGAAUUUCGAAUUCUUGCUUCUUUGUGGAGCUGUUGAAACCCUCAGUUGUUACCUAUAAAUAGAAGCCCUUAGUGAGCUAUUUCGGACAAGGUUCAAGUGUUGGAAAUCCCUCUUGAAUAACCCCCAAAAAAAAAAAAUCUCUUUUAACUCUAAUUUUUUUGUGUGUUGAAAUUCUCGGCCAAACAAGCUCUUCAAGCGGAUUCGGAGGCUCGACGACAGACGUUAGCCUCAGUUCGCUGUCACGGAAAAGCACCCUGGGAGUUUAUCAAUAAAACUCCACGAGCUGUCCAAUUGGACUAAGUUACAAGCUGCGUCUGCCCCCAUUUUAUUCCUCCUCGAGCCACUAUUUCUUAUGUCUUCCGAUGGAGUCUCCUAGUUCGGUGUUGGGAUUCUUGAAAGAGAUGUCCAGCCACUUCUCUCUUCUUGUUGGCCUCGCAUUUACUUACAACCGUAUUCGUUGUAUUGCUUGAACUAACACUUGUCAUUUUGAGUUUUCGGUGUUGAGAUGCUCUUGUUUGUGAACCAAUUUUGUAUAGAACUUUCAGGUGGGAAUAGCAAAACUUAGUCGUUAAUUCUUUAAUUCUUUCCAGGAGAUUUCAGUAGGGUGAAAGACUCGAAAACACGUAUUUUUCGUGAAGGAUAAAAGUGCAUGCCUUUAAGAGUCUA